GCCUACGGGGGGCAGCAGUGGGGAAUAUUGCGCAAUGGGCGAAAGCCUGACGCAGCGACGCCGCGUGAGGGAUGAAGAUCUUCGGAUCGUAAACCUCUGUCAGCAGGGAAGAACGGUCACUGUGCUAAUCAGCAGUGAAUUGACGGUACCUGCAAAGGAAGCACCGGCUAACUCCGUGCCAGCAGCCGCGGUAAUACGGAGGGUGCGAGCGUUAAUCGGAAUUACUGGGCGUAAAGGGCUCGUAGGCGGUAUGUCAAGUCAAGGGUGAAAUCCCCGCGCUCAACGUGGGAACUGCCUUUGAAACG
rnacentral:rRNA from 1 species